rnacentral:rRNA from 1 species
AUUGAACGCUGGCGGAACGCUUUACACAUGCAAGUCGAACGGCAGCACGGACUUCGGUCUGGUGGCGAGUGGCGAACGGGUGAGUAAUGUAUCGGAACGUGCCCAGUCGUGGGGGAUAACGUAGUGAAAAUUACGCUAAUACAGCAUACGAUCUAUGGAUGAAAGAGGGGGAUCGCAAGACCUAGCGCGAUUGGAGCGGCCGAUAUCAGAUUAGGUAGUUGGUGGGGUAAAGGCCCACCAAGCCAACGAUCUGUAGCUGGUCUGAGAGGACGACCAGCCACACUGGAACUGAGACACGGUCCAGACUCCUACGGGAGGCAGCAGUGGGGAAUUUUGGACAAUGGGCGAAAGCCUGAUCCAGCCAUUCCGCGUGCAGGAUGAAGGCCCUCGGGUUGUAAACUGCUUUUGUACAGAACGAGAAGGUUUCUACUAAUACUAGGAGCUCAUGACGGUACUGUAAGAAUAAGCACCGGCUAACUACGUGCCAGCCGCCGCAGUAA